AUACGGAGGGGGCUAGCGUUGUUCGGAAUCACUGGGCGUAAAGCGCACGUAGGCGGUUCGUUAAGUUGGGCGUGAAAGCCCGGGGCUCAACCCCGGAGGUGCGUUCGAAACUGGCGGACUAGAGUCCGGGAGAGGGUGGUGGAAUUCCCAGUGUAGAGGUGAAAUUCGUAGAUAUUGGGAAGAACACCAGUGGCGAAGGCGACCACCUGGUCCGGUACUGACGCUGAGGUGCGAAAGCGUGGGGAGCAAACAGGAUUAGAUACCCCGGUAGUCC
rnacentral:rRNA from 1 species